CGCUUGCGGACCCUUCGGCCGACAGCCGCACGCGUUACCACUGUACCACGGCGACCCCCCGUGAUCUUAAAAGAAGACUGGAUCGAGCAACCAGUACUUUGUCGUGAAGCCCUAUUGAAAACGCCGGCGCCACGACUUGACUUGGGGCGCAGUGGAAGAUAGCUUUAGAUUUCACAAUUAAAUCUCCCGCUUUGCAUGAAAUAAGACAUUUGGUUUCACUAUAACGUGACAGAGACUGACUAUGAGACGUCCUCGUGUAUUCCUGCAUCGACUGGAACGGCUACAAGUCCGAGUUCGGCUUCGUCUUCUCCCGCACCCCACAGACUUCCGGUCCAGCGAACGACAACCGCGCCUCCGUCUUCCGCAAGUCAAUGUCUUAUGUUUCAGUGCAAUAUCUUACAUAACCAAAUGUAUUUACAGCUUACUUCCAUGGUUACGCACUAAAUCUUAUAUCAGCAGAUUGUUAUAUCAUAUUUCGGCGUUUGUAGAUAACAGAUCAUACUGAGACAGGAUCAUGUUCACGUCAUGAUAUAUAUGCAUAUCUAUACACACACACAACAUAUAUAUGUAUACAGACAGAUACACACUCAUAUGUAUAUAUAUAUAUAUAUAUUUUUUUUUUUUACUAAUACUAUAGAAUAAAAUUAACUCACUGAUGUAGCCUUACAUUUCCUUAUUUGCGUUUUUUUUUUCAAACAUCAACUUAAAUUGCGCUGUUUCGCAUUCAAAAUGAUAGAUUUGAAAAAAAAAAAAAG